rnacentral:rRNA from 1 species
CAACGUCUAACACACAUCGUUACGGCAUGGACUACGAGGUAUCUAAUCCUCUUCGCUACCCAUGCUUUCGUUCCUCAGUGUCAGUAAUGAUCCAGAAAGCUGCCUUCGCAAUUGGUAUUCUUUCUAAUAUCUACGAAUUUCACCUCUACACUAGAAAUUCUGCUUUCCUCUAUCAUACUCUAGCUGAAAAGUUUUGAUGGCAGUUCCAGAGUUAAGCUCUGGGAUUUCACCACCAACUUUUUCAACCACCUACGAACUCUUUAAGCCCAGUAAAUCCGAACUACGCUAGGUCCCUUCGUAUUACCGCGGCUGCUGGCACGAAGUUAGCCGGACCUUCUUAUUCGGGUACAGUCAUUUUCUUCCCCGACGAAAGAGCUUUACAACCCAAAGGCCUUCUUCACUCACGCGGCAUCGCUGCAUCAGAGUUUCCUCCAUUGUGCAAGAUUCCCCACUGCUGCCUCCCGUAGGAGUUUGGGCCGUGUCUCAGUCCCAAUGUGGCUGAUCAUCCUCUCAAAUCAGCUAUAGAUCACAGUCUUGGUAGGCCAUUACCCCACCAACAAACUAAUCUAGUGCAGGCUCAUCCAAUGGUGCAUAAAGCUUUCUCUGUAAAGACUUAUCCGGUAUUAGCACAAGUUUCCUCGUGUUAUUCCAGGCCAAAGGGUAGAUACCUACAUGUUACUCACCCGUCUGCCACUAAGUAUUGCUACUUCGUUCGACUUGCAUGUGUUAGGCGUGCCGCCAGCGUACGUUCUGAGCCAGGAUCAAACUCU